AUAAAUUGAUUGAAAUUAAAAAGUCCGUCGAAGCUUGACAAAAACACAAGCCAUUUCUCUUACUAACCACAAUUCUAAACAUGGCUGCCAUUUUGAGCCAUUUGAGCUAGGCUUAACUUUGGAGCUAUACAUAUUUGGUCCUUUUAUUCAUCUUAAUUAUCCAGUCUAUGGAGUACCAACGUGGCAAUAUCCUGUUCAUUUAGAGUAUAUCAUGUGCCACAUGUUUAUUCAUACCUGCUUCGAUCUCCGUCCAAAAGUCAAGCUUCUUCCCCAAACAGUUGUUCGACCAUCAUCACACCUCCGCUACUUCUCACCUUCUGAUUCAUGAAAGAUCGGAUUAAUUUCUCUAUGAUAGUGAAUCAUCAACCGGAGAGGGGAUCGAAGGCAUCUUCACGAGCGAGAAUUUCAGCUAAUCAUAUGAUUUCGUAUGAUUCGCUUCUCAAGGAAACGGUUGAUGGUAAAAGAAGAUGUUGAUUGUCGUCGAUCAAAUACCAAAUACUCUCUUUUGCACGAACAAAUCCUCAAAUCCAUGUCGACCCUCUGAUUCGAUUGGAUCGUCACUAUCCAGAAAGCACAAAUUCCCUUCCAAUUGUGUAGUUCUCUUUCCACAACCAAAAAAAGUCCCAGCUCCUUGAAUUAUCGUGUGCUCCACCGGAGGUUGAAGACGGAGAUUUCAAUCUUUAUGUGUAUUUUAUUUAUUUGCACCUUGGUACACAUUUAGGGGUGUUUGACUUAGCUUUUCUAAGUCCAAAAUCCUUUUUAGGAAAAAUUAUAAAAAAGUCAGGAUUUUCUGACUUUUUCAAAAAUUUCAUUUUCCUUGUAUAAAAACUCCAAAAAUAACUUUUAAAUUAGUUUUGCCAAACUAUCUUUCUUCCGUUCUCUUUCUAAGAUUUCACUCUUGUGUUUUAUUCGUUUGAAAUCUGAGGCCUGAUUUUCGGUGGAAACGAGAGGUGAGCAUGGUGCGGUUUGGUGCAGUUUUAGAGCCAAACCGAACCGCAAACCGCAAGGUGCGGUUUUUGAAUUCUAGAAACCGUUGGGUGCGGUUUUUCAAUGGUUCGGUUUUGCAGUUUUUGAGUGCGGUUUCAGUUUGUACCGGUUCGGUGUCAGUUAUAAACCGAGUCAAACAUAUGGUGCGGUUUUUUAUGUUCACCAGUAUGAUUUUUUUAACUGAGGUGUUCAUGUGAAGAUUUAUGAUUGUAUGACAUCGUGUCAUUUCAUUUCCUCGCAUUUAGAAGCUGUAAUUUUGAGUUUUUUUAAGUUGUUUACUUGGUCACUUCAUUUGCAACCCAUAUUCACAAGCUCAUUUUUUUUAUUCAAUUUGUGCUUAGAAGUUACAAGCUUGCAACUUGUAACCCAUAUAAACACUUUACACAUAAUCAUUAAGUUACAAACACAAAGUGACAAACUCACAUAUUAAACCUAAUACCUAAUUAUUAAUUACCUUCAAGCUCAAUAUAUAAUAUAUGUAUGAAUUAUAAUUUAUUAGUUUUUUAAAUAAUAUGUAUAAUUUUAUAAUAUAAAUUAGUGAUUUAUUUUAUUGUUAAUAAGCUUGUGGUGCGGUUAGGUUUUGGUGGUCCGGAUUCUAGAUAGAAACUGCACCGCAUCAAUAUGAAAAUUUAUUGGUUGCUACCAUUUUUCUCCAACAGUUCUUCCAACGGGAUUUCUAGUAAUAGAUGGGGCUUCCUCACCUUCAAUGGCAUUACAACACCUCAAUCAGGUUUUCAGGGACACAAGCUAAUGUAGGGGUGGCAAUUGAUGGUACGACAGGGGAAAAAACAAACGACACGAAAGGAAAUUGGAACGAAACUGAAAUUCGAAUUUGUGUUUGUGUCAAGUGUAAAAAACACGACAUCUUCGUGUUCAAAAUUUGACACGAAAUUGACACAAUUUAGCAUUUAUUUUUCGUGUUUUCGUGUUUGUCGUGUUAUAUAUGAUUAAAUAUUAAUUAAAUAAAUUAGUUUUUAUUUUAUUUUAUCUUUGUCAUGUCGUAUCAUGUAUGUCGUUUUUUAAUCAGUUCGUUUUCGUGUUAGUUAAAAAAACGACAUCGUGUCAUGUUGUGUUUGUGUUACAUAAAACAUUGUCGUGUCGUGUCGUGUUGUGUCAGACAAAAACAUGACACGAUGGCCCGAAUUGCCACCCCUAAGCUAAUGUCAAUGGGAUAUUUGAAUUCGUAUGUCUUUCUAAAAGUGUUCUUAUAAGGGCAUCUUCAACCCACCCCCAAAAUCCAUUUAUUCCCCCAUUCUUC